UAAAAAUAAUAAUACCUUGUCUUCAUAUGCUCUCUCCUUCCAGAGAUGGCUCCAAUUUCUCUGUCAACUUUACUGGAAGAUGAAAAAAAGUAAUGCUGAACAGAACACAUCAUUCUGGAGCCACCGACAUGGAGCAGGUCAAUGGCCAGCUGUCCACCCGAUGAUGACAAUACGGUUUCAGGACAGAAGAGUAACUCGGACUCCAGAGAGAAAUAGCAGUGGGGAGACGGGGAUAGAAGUGAGAACCUGACGAGUGACCAGCGCAGUGUUUUCCCUGAAAAGCAUCCUGUUAUAUGAAGCUUCAACACAGCUCAUGGCGGGUGAGGAGUCUAAGUUCUGAGAGAACCAGAGCUUCUAGCAGAAGGAACAGGAAGGUGGCUGAGAAGCAGAGGGAGAGGAGCUGUGGGUGAGCUGGGCUUGCACAGAGCACACCCCAGAGGCCAGCACAGGCUCUGCACAUGGUGGUGCUGAGGUCACCCCCAGAGCUGCUGAGGUGUAUGCUUCAUAUGCUCCACAGCCUGACACAGUGGGCUCUCACCUC